GAAAUGCGAAAAUUAAUGCGAAUUGCAGAAUUCAGUGAAUCAUCGAGUCUUUGAACGCACAUUGCGCCCGUCGGUAUUCCGGCGGGCAUGCCUGUCCGAGCGUCUUUUUCAAGUUGAAUCGAGCCCGCUUUGGGGACUCCAACCCCCAAAGUUCAGGGCGUCGGUGUUGGACCGUCCGACCCCUUGGGGCCGGAGGUCUCAGAACUCAUUCACCGGAGGUCGCUCACGAUCGCACCCGGAUUCGCCCGACGGCGCGAUUUCGAAAGGUGCGAUCAGAGUGAACCUGAAGGUCGCUGUGGGGUGCGCUCCGGCGCCCCGCUCACCAGUUCGACCUCGGAUCAGGUAGGGUUACCCGCUGAACUUAA
rnacentral:misc_RNA from 1 species